rnacentral:lncRNA from 1 species
CCCGCGGCCACCUUCCUCCUCCUCUUCCUCUCUGCCGCCCCACUCCCUCCUGCCGUGCUCCCGCUCCCGGCGCUGCGACGACGACCGGCCGCCGGAGACGUGCGGGCACGCCAUCUCGAAGUAGCCUUCGCCGCCGUCCACGACGAUGGCUAUCUUGUGGGCACGGGUGCUGUAGCUCAGCGCCAUCAUAGAGCCCUGCACGCACGCAUGACGCAUGCCAGUAUAUAUCAGAAAGCAAAUCAGUUGCUGUUUCGUUUAGUUUCGGCAGAAAUUCUGAAAAAGAUGCGAGCUAGCUUACACGGGAGAUGUUUGCCAGGCCAACUUUCAUGUCGAGCACACGGAGGUGCGGGCACUCGUCGCCGGUGAUCUCGUAGUGCUUGCCGUGGCUGUUGGAGUGGGUCGGCCUCUUGCCCGUGAGGCUGGACGGCUUGAUCUCCCACUUGGAAGAAGAACGAGAACCCGUGUCGCCACCCUCCUCGCGGCUGCUGCGGCCUCCGCCGCGUGAGCACGACCUGCUCAGCUCCCGGAUCUGCUCCUCGGACGCCGUCGUGAUCUCGCCCUUGCUCUGCUUCUCGAACACUUUCUCCCACUCUUCCCGGCGAG